UAUGGUGAUGACGACACACUUGCCCUCACUGAGAGCGCUGUUCGCUAAUGAGAACUUUGCGAAGUACUCGAAGAGCUGAGCCAGC
ensembl:snoRNA small nucleolar RNA SNORD103/SNORD85